CCUACGGGUGGCAGCAGUGGGGAAUAUUGCACAAUGGGGGAAACCCUGAUGCAGCGACGCCGCGUGAGUGAAGAAGUACCUCGGCACGUAAAGCUCUAUCAGCAGGGAAGAAAAUGACGGUACCUGACUAAGAACCCCCGGCUAACUACGUGCCAGCAGCCGCGGUAAUACGUAGGGGGCAAGCGUUAUCCGGUUUUACUGGGUGUAAAGGGGGCGUAGACGGCAGCGCAAGUCUGGAGUGAAAUCCCGGGGCGUAACCCCGGAACUGCUUUGGAAACUGGGCGGCUGGAGUGCAGGAGGGGUAGGCGGAAUUCCUGGUGUAGCGGUGAAAUGCGUAGAUAUUAGGAGGAACACCGGUGGCGAAGGCGGCUGACUGGACUGUAACUGACGUUGAGGCUCGAAAGCGUGGGGAGCAAACAGGAUUAGAGACCCGGGUAGUC
rnacentral:rRNA from 1 species